rnacentral:lncRNA from 1 species
CAAGAUUGCCUUGGCUGGGAACCAAACUCAUCCUGGUUUCCUGUCUUGGGAUCUCAAGGGGCUAGAAUGAGCUGCUAUUCCAAGGGAGAGAAGAAAGCAACCCCAGGAAGCCUGGCCCCGAAGACUGUGAGGAAACAAAGCCAACAGGAUCUGCACCACCUCUGCCUCCCGGACAUUGGAAGGACUAAAUAAGAUCAGUGGCUGGUGUCCUGUCUCCAUCCUGCCUGGGAUAACACUGAAAAUCGCCUUAACUUCCUACGUCCUGGUAUGAGCAGAUGGCCUGCAGGAGACUUGAAGGAGCUUAGCUUUCUUUUCUAUCUUGAACACACAUGCAGACAGAGACCUCAUUCCUAGAUGGAACGAGGAAUGGUAGCGACCACGAUCCUCCCCUCCCAGGAUCUGCGCCACAAGGGAAGAUCAGAACCUUCAGCUGCCAGAAGCACUGUGGCGGAAAUGUAGGUCCCCAUCCAGGCUGAUCUGAGCUUGGCUUUCUGGAGCACGCAAACCUCGAUGCACUGAACUGCUGCCGGACCUCACCUUGCCAGGCCCACUGUGCUCACACUCACACAUCGCUCCAUCCACUGGAGGCUGCAGAGGCAAGAUCCACCAAGAAGAUGGUCUUCCUGUCCAGGAUGCCCUUCCCUGAGAGAAGUGUAUUUAAUCUUAAAUUCAGAUGUUUGUUUGUCUACCCACUUAAAACACCCUGUUGAAUAAAAAUUACUCAAGGAACACAUGGAGGCUU